UACGUACGAGGCGAGCGUUAUCCGGAAUUACUGGGCGUAAAGCGCGCGCAGGCGGACCAUUAAGUUGGGCGUGAAAUCUCCCGGCCUAACUGGGAGGGGUCGCCCAAGACUGGUGGUCUUGAGGACAGCAGAGGUGGGUGGAAUUCCUGGUGUAGUGGUGAAAUGCGUAGAGAUCCGGAAGAACACCGGUGGCGAAGGCGGCCUGCUGGGCAGUAGCUGACGCUGAUGCGCGACAGCGUGGGGAGCAAACAGG
rnacentral:rRNA from 1 species